AUUGAACGCUGGCGGCAGGCUUAACACAUGCAAGUCGAGCGGAGAUGAGGUGCUUGCACCUUAUCUUAGCGGCGGACGGGUGAGUAAUGCUUAGGAAUCUGCCUAUUAGUGGGGGACAACAUUCCGAAAGGAAUGCUAAUACCGCAUACGUCCUACGGGAGAAAGCAGGGGAUCUUCGGACCUUGCGCUAAUAGAUGAGCCUAAGUCGGAUUAGCUAGUUGGUGGGGUAAAGGCCUACCAAGGCGACGAUCUGUAGCGGGUCUGAGAGGAUGAUCCGCCACACGGGGACUGAGACACGGCCCAGACUCCUACGGGAGGCAGCAGUGGGGAAUAUUGGACAAUGGGGGGAACCCUGAUCCAGCCAUGCCGCGUGUGUGAAGAAGGCCUUAUGGUUGUAAAGCACUUUAAGCGAGGAGGAGGCUACUGAGACUAAUACUCUUGGAUAGUGGACGUUACUCGCAAAAUAAGCACCGGCUAACUCUGUGCCAGCCGCCGCCGUAAUAC
rnacentral:rRNA from 1 species